rnacentral:lncRNA from 1 species
AGGGCUUGUGCGUGGCUUUUGGCUAGAGUUACUCACAGGUGACCCACGGAGUCAGUGCAGGGGCUAUGAGAAUUUGCAUUUGCAUCAAAACGAUGCAGAAUCAAGACUGAAAGAAGUUAAGUAACUUCACUCUAGAUCAUCUGGUAGAGGGUAUAAAGGAGAUCUAGCCCUGGGAAGUUAGGCUCUAAAACCUGUGCCGUUCCUAUGAAAGCACAUUUCCUUCAUAAAAGGGUAAAUCAAAGUGAAAGAAGUCAUUAAGUCAGGUAACAAAUACUUAUCAAGUGCCUGUUGUUUGCUGGACAUAGCAGGAGUGCUCCCAGGCAAGGAAUAGACACCUAUUUUUCAGACUUCUGAUCUCUUUGGGGAUUGCCAAAAUGACCUCAAGUAGUGAAGAUAUAGUGGAAUAAUCUGUAUUUCUGCUGACCUUGAUGACAUUUGGAUCUCAUUUGAGGUACUAAGAAGAAUAAGCAAUUGGUUUGAAAAAAGCCCUUUUAAGAGCAAAAUGAAUUCUGCUAAAGUUGAAGCAGGAACAAAUAUCAAAUUUAUGGUGAAGCUCAGGUGGAAGAAUGAUGAAAUCACUGAUGCUUUACAAGAAGUUUAUGGGGACAAUGCCUUAAAGAAAUCAGCAGUUUACAAAUGGAUAACUUGUUUUAGGAAAGGAUGAGAUGCUGAAGAUAAAUCCUGCAGUGGCAAAUUCAUCCACAUCAAUUUGUUGUCCAGGAAACAUGGUGCUGGCAUCUGCUCAGCUUCUGGGGAGGCCUCAGGAAACUUACAAUCAUGGUGGAAGGCAAAGGGAGAGCUGGCACUUCACAUGGCCAGAGCAGGAGGAAGAGAGUGGUGAGAAGGUGCUACACACUUUUAAACAACCACAUCUCAUGAGAACGAACUCACGUCAUGAGAACAGCACUGAGUGGAAUGGUGUUAAACCAUUCACGAGAAACCACCUCCAUGAUCCAAUCACCACCCACCAGGCUCCACCUCCAACACUGGGGUUUACAAUUCAACAUGAGAUUUGGAUAGGGACACAGAUCCAAACAAUAUCAGGUACAAUGCUUCUUUUGUUUUAUAGAUGGGGAUGACUAAGUCAGGGAGUUUGAAUAAUUUGUCCAACAUCAUAAAUACUAGGUGAUGAUGUCACAAUUAGUACACAGGUAUAAAAGUUCCUAAUUAUUAUGCCACAUAUAUCAUUGAUAAAACACUUACCUUUUUAAAGAAACUACUUUCUAAUUGUUUUGGACUAAUUAUGUUUUCAUUAUUAGGACACCUCUCUCAGGACCAGUGUGAGACUGACACAUAGUAAGCAAUGAGUAAAUAUAGUUAUUAUUCCUAUGAUUUUCAACAGAUAAAUAAGUCACAUCCUCACUGACCUCAUAUUUCUCACUGUGAAAAAAGAGAAUAACUUUCUAAAUUGCUAGAACUUUAUUUUAUAAGUCAGAACAGGCACUGGCACUAACAAUGACACAUUUUAAUAGCCUAUCUCUAAGCAAUAUUAUUGACAGAACAAAACUCAGCUUUAUUGAUAAAUGCUAAUCUGUAUCUGGCUGCUAAGCUAUAGUAGAAAAAAAUUGUCCUUAGACCAAUAAUAACUCAGUCUCAAUUAUCCAACAGAUAAAUCUCCUAAAGUUCAUCCAAAGAUGAAUAUAACUCAAAAUAUGUGUUAUUUUUCUAAAGUUGUUUACUCAAAGUCGAGGGCAGAAAAAUAUUUGAAGUUUUUAGUGCAAGCACAAGUAUUCCAAUCGGUAUUACAGGUCUCACUUUUGUUUUUCAAACAUGUAUCUAAUUGAUUAAAAUACAAAGACAUGGUUCUCCUUUAAGAAACAAGUAGGGAGCAUUUCUUAUAUUUACAUUUGACCUAUAGUUUACAAACCAAAGACUAAAGUUAAAAUACUGUAAGUCCAUUAAACUCCUAAUGGAUAUGUUUAUUCCCCAACCCCUGCCACUAAAAUUUAUUGCGAUUUGUCUUAUGAUUAUAAAGUGAGAAGCGUUCAUUAUAGACAGUAUUGAAAACAUGUAGGAAGUAAUUCCAAAACCUAGAAGGAAUACUAUUUUUUCAUAUAUAGGACAUCCUUUCAGUGUUUUCUCUAUAUGUCUCUCUAUGUACAUUUCUAUGCAAAUAUAAAAUUAUACCUUGUAUAUUUUGUAACUAUUUUUAAUGGAGAAUAUGUAGUGAUCAUAUCCUUAUGUCAUAUAUUAGUAGGCGUAAUUUAUGUAACUACUUGUCUCGAGUUAGAAUUAGGUAUUCUCAUUUUUUUCUUUAUUACAGAUAAUAAGUCAUUGAACAUCCUCGCACAUAAAUCUUUGUGUACAAGAUCUUCUCUCACCUUUCCACAGACAAGACAGAUGUCUUCUAGAAAACUAAAAUAUGAUUCCAGAAACAUUAAUUUGUUAGUUCAGUGAUAUUUUAUAAAUUACUUGUUCAUAUUUACAGUUAUAGAACAUUUUUCCUCUGAACAUUCUGAGCAGUUUUAUAUUAAAACUUACUUGUUAUUGUUUAAUGGAACCAUUUAUUUUAGUGAUAGGAAUAAAGAAUGUGGCAGGAAAGGAUCUGGAGUCAGAGGACAGAGAAAGAAAAAUGGAAAACUCUUUUGUGCCUCAUUCUUUUGCUCUUGCUAUUCCUUUAUUUCAGAAUACUUGUCCCUGCCUUGUCUACCUAAAUAACUUUUAUUCGGUCUCCUAAAUUUACAUUCAGCUAUAAUGUCAUUUCUCCAUGUGUAUGUAGUGGUUCUAAAUGGGUGUUUUCUUAGUUUUUUGUUUUUUUUUUUUUUUUUUUUAGAAAAAGAACUUUCUUUUAUAUAUAGUAGAAUACAUAUGAAUCAUCCUGGCAAAUUUAUGAAGGUUUUAAACAUAGGUAAAAAGUUGUUUACCUGGGUCCUUUGGACAAAUUUCUCUUCUUCUUUUAUCCUUUUGCAAAGAGAACAAAGAUCAGCAAAUACUAGCAGCCUAAAGCUACACUAUGUGUGGCUUUGCAUGCCUACCAAUCUUUAGUGUUCCCUUGACUCCUGAAAACAAUGGAUUCUAUCAUAUCAUGGAUAUUAAGAGGCACAUUAACGCUUUCUUGUGGAAACAGAUGUUUGGUGGGCUUGUGUUUGUAGAUGAGACAUAUUAAAUACAUCUAUGUUCAUACAGCC